rnacentral:ncRNA from 2 species
UCCUCGCACUCUGAGAGCGGCAGCGGCUUUCGAACACAAGUCAGUUGCCCACCGAAGGGGCGCGCGAUGAACCGCGAAAACGGUUCGCGCAAUCUCUCAGGUACCGAGGACAGAGGGGUCACG